rnacentral:rRNA from 1 species
GGGCCCGCACAAGCGGUGGAGUAUGUGGUUUAAUUCGAUGCAACGCGAAGAACCUUACCAGGGUUUGACAUCCUGCGAAUCUCUUGGAAACGAGAGAGUGCCUUCGGGAACGCAGUGACAGGUGGUGCAUGGCUGUCGUCAGCUCGUGUCGUGAGAUGUUGGGUUAAGUCCCGCAACGAGCGCAACCCACGUCUUUAGUUGCCAGCAUUUAGUUGGGCACUCUAGAGAGACUGCCGGUGAUAAACCGGAGGAAGGUGUGGAUGACGUCAAGUCAUCAUGCCCCUUACAUCCUGGGCUACACACGUACUACAAUGGUAGGUACAGAGGGAAGCCACCCCGCGAGGGGGAG